rnacentral:rRNA from 1 species
UACGGAGGGUGCGAGCGUUGCUCGGAAUCACUGGGCGUAAAGGGCGCGUAGGCGGACUUUUAAGUCGGAGGUGAAAGCCCAGGGCUCAACCCUGGAAUUGCCUUCGAUACUGGGAGUCUUGAGUUCGGAAGAGGUUGGUGGAACUGCGAGUGUAGAGGUGAAAUUCGUAGAUAUUCGCAAGAACACCAGUGGCGAAGGCGGCCAACUGGUCCGAUACUGACGCUGAGGCGCGAAAGCGUGGGGAGCAAACAGG